GAUAUUGGCGACGGGUGAGUAACACGUGGGCAAUCUGCCCUGCACUCUGGGACAAGCCCUGGAAACGGGGUCUAAUACCGGAUACUGACCUGCCAAGGCAUCUUGGCGGGUCGAAAGCUCCGGCGGUGCAGGAUGAGCCCGCGGCCUAUCAGCUUGUUGGUGAGGUAAUGGCUCACCAAGGCGACAACAGGUAGCCGGCCUGAGAGGGCGACCGGCCACACUGGGACUGAGACACGGCCCACACUCCUACGGGAGGCAGCAGUGGGGAAUAUUGCACAAUGGGCGAAAGCCUGAUGCAGCGACGCCGCGUGAGGGAUGACGGCCUUCGGGUUGUAAACCUCUUUCAGCAGGGAAGAAACGAAAGUGACGGUACCUGCAGAAAAAACGCCGGCUAACUACGUGCCACCAGCCGCGGUAAUACGUAGGGCGCAAGCGUUGUCCGGAAUUAUUGGGCGUAAAGAGCUCGUAGGCGGCUUGUCGCGUCGGUUGUGAAAGCCCGGGGCUUAACCCCGGGUCUGCAGUCGAUACGGGCAGGCUAGAGUUCGGUAGGGGAGAUCGGAAUUCCUGGUGUAGCGGUGAAAUGCGCACAUAUCACGAGGAACACCGGUGGCGAAGGCGGAUCUCUGGGCCGAUACUGACGCUGAGGAGCGAAAGCGUGGGGAGCGAACAGGAUUAUAUACCCUGGUAGUCCACGCCGUAAACGGUGGGCACUAUGUGUGGGCAACAUUCCACGUUGUCCGUGCCGCAGCUAACGCAUUAAGUGCCCCGCCUGGGGGAGUACGGCCGCAAGCUAAAACUCAA
rnacentral:rRNA from 1 species